AACAAGGCGUACCUGCGGACCUGCGGAGGGAUCAUUACUGAGUCACGUGCUCAAACAACCCUUCUGUGGACCUGAAAUAAAACCGUUGCCUCGGCGGGCGGUCCCCCCCAAACCAACCCCACGUGGUGGGUUAGGGGAGACCAGACAGUCCGGUACGCUUAAGGCGUCCGGCGCCAGCCGCUGGCCCCAAACAAUUAAACUCUAGUAAUCUUUACCUUCUAAGUUUCAAUAUUUAAAAAU
rnacentral:misc_RNA from 1 species